rnacentral:lncRNA from 1 species
AGUCCAGCAAGAGCUCCAGAGACCCACCCCAGGGGCAGAAGGCCUCUGGCUGGCCAAAUUUAGGCUGCUUUGUGGUUGUAAAUGCUGCCGCCUCCAGGGCCCGAGAUGGAAUUCAGCUGGUGAGACUUGGCUGGUGGUCCCAGCCCUCCUCGGUUGGCUCCUGCCUUGUGUAUUGUUCAUGACCUUCUUGUUUCUGUCAUUUACUUGAGCAUCUCCAUCUCCUGCCAUGGAUGAUUCCAAUGUACAGCCAAUGAUGAGCAGCUGCUGGGCUGAAGGGACUGGGGCCAUUUUAUACCAGGAUGUUACACAGAAAUGCCUGAAAAGCAAGGAGCAGCUAUCAGAAUGUUUGGUGACACAGCUCCUCCUGUCGUGGUUCCUUCGGCAUGGACUUCACAUUCAGCAGAUCCAUGAGGUGUUCCCUUUCGGAUGAGCUCCAAGGUCUUAAGAGAGCAUCUCUAGUCUGCGUGAGUCCGUCUGAACGACGGUCCUGAGCAAGAACCACCUAUAACCAUCUGCUCAAAAUAACUCAGGGGAAGUCAAAGCUUUCUAUGUGGAAGGUGACUGAAACCACAUACACAGACCACUGCAGCAUUCCUGACAUUAUGGAACUUGGAAAUGAUUCCAAACAUGGCCAUAGCUUGAGUAACAUGUUUUGCUAUGACAAGAACUUGGACUGUAGUCCUUCCCCCUCUCAAGAAUGUGACAUCACACCUUAUCAGAUCCUACGAGUGAGCUACUGACCUCAACCACUGAACUUCAAACUAUGUAAAAACCUAAGGGUUCGACAGACACUUUGAGAGCUUGGGCUGUGGCAAGCUACACUCUGUCAGCCUCUCUUCGACAGGGCCCCACCCUGCUAGCCUUUGAACUUGGAAGCAUCGCCCACAAACACCAGUGCCACCCUCUAGCCUUGAGGGACCAUAUAUGUCUCUGUGAAUCUCCGUUGCAUUGGACAGCUUCUCUCCCAAGAGCUGCUCUUAUAAAAGAGACACACCACAUUUUAAUGAGGCUUCGCUCUCCACAGAGGCCUGCUUCCAUCCUAAUUGAGCAAGUAGACUUUAGUAACUUUGGAACUCACUCACCCCGUGACUAAUACACCCUGUCUACCCAGCGCAUUCCCUGUGAGAUUUGUUCAUGUUGUUCUCCCCCUCCUUAAGCAUUGUGAACCUAGGAAAAAUAUCAUCUCUGUAGGGCAAUAAACCAUGUGAUUUGUGAAAUCAUACUUUGAGCAUCUCCUAAUUUUAACCAUACACAAUGCCUGAGAACUGGGAAAUGAAGAAAGGAGGAAUUGGAUCUAAAAAUGUGUUUAACAAAGUAUAAACGCCAUAGAUAUCCAACAACAGGGUGCCUGGACAGAUAAACAGAGGCAGGCUACCUCUUCCAAAUGUCAUAGACUACACAAUACAUAGAAAGAGGGUCAUGGGAUUAUAUGAGGUAAAAAGAGGCCAUAAUGCGGAAGGAGGAGAAUCGCUGGUUUACAAGACGGUGCAGAGUCUCCCACAGAGAGCAUCUGUUUGGCCCAGUACUAGGAGGCCUCUUUGGUGUGAAAUGUGAAGCCCCCAGGGAAUGGCCCUGAUGGGCUAAAAUGUGAAGAAGGGGGAUGGCUACUGAAUUAAAAGAAGUAGCAGGAAUUUGAGAGACUGGGGGCUGGCAGCUGGAGGAGGCAGGAGCUGCCCAGUAGGACAUCCAGGCAUCGAGCAAGUGUCUGUGAAGGAGCAUUCAUGGAGGAUUCCUCACGCCAGAGUCUUGGAGGUGCGGGACGUUGUGUUUUAGUCAUUUGCUCUAUUAUCACAUAAAGUCAUGCCCCUCUUGACCUUCAUGCCUUUAGUAAGUGACCAGGGC